rnacentral:rRNA from 1 species
AUUGCUCAGUACGGCGAGUGAGCGGCAAAGCUCAAAUUUGAAAUCCUUCGGGAGUUGUAAUUUGUAGAGGGGUGUCUUUGGGGCGGCAUUGUCUAUGUUCCUUGGAACAGGACGUCACAGAGGGUGAGAAUCCCGUGCGAUGAUGCCUCAACCAGUACAAGACCCUCUCGACGAGUCGAGUUGUUUGGGAAUGCAGCUCUAAGUGGGUGGUAAAUUCCAUCUAAAGCUAAAUACUGGCGAGAGACCGAUAGCGAACAAGUACAGUGAUGGAAAGAUGAAAAGCACUUUGAAAAGAGAGUGAAACAGUACGUGAAAUUGUUGAAAGGGAAGGGUAGGAGGUGAGGGGAAGAGCUGCUUAGGCGCGGGAGAUAAACAAGCAGGAAGCGCUUCGGUGCGGCCUGGUAAAUAUCCCGUGCUUGUGUGGUUCUUCCGUAAUCCCCUUCUACCGCCCGUCUUGAAACACGGACCA